rnacentral:rRNA from 1 species
GUGAGGAAUCUUCCACAAUGGGCGAAAGCCUGAUGGAGCAACGCCGCGUGAAGGAUGAAGGUCUUCGGAUUGUAAACUUCUUUUAUGAGUGAAGAAUAUGACGGUAACUCAUGAAUAAGCACCGGCUAACUACGUGCCAGCAGCCGCGGUCAUACGUAGGGUGCAAGCAUUAUCCGGAGUGACUGGGCGUAAAGAGUUGCGUAGGCGGUUAUGUAAGCGAAUAGUGAAACCUGGUGGCUCAACCACACAGACUAUUAUUCGAACUGCAUAACUCGAGAAUGGUAGAGGUAACUGGAAUUUCUUGUGUAGGAGUGAAAUCCGUAGAUAUAAGAAGGAACACCAAUGGCGUAGGCAGGUUACUGGGCCAUUUCUGACGCUAAGGCACGAAAGCGUGGGGAGCGAACCGGAUUAGAAACCCCAGUAGUCC